rnacentral:lncRNA from 12 species
AGAGACCCCUCCAGGGCCCUACAGGGAUCCCUCACCUCCAGCCCAGCACAAACCAGCCUUGCUGUGCGUGAACGCGCGUGAGCAUGUGUGCGUGUGCUGCAGGCACAGCCAUCAGAAGGCUGCUGCUCCCAGCUUUCCCCAUCCAUCCACGGAUCGUUGCAUUUUGCCCCCAAAACAAAUAUUUGCCUUUGACCUCAGUGGUCCUGCCUGUGAAACUGAGCUACGACUGGACCUCAGACUAUUCAGGACCCACGGGAAAGGGUCCGGUUCCCACCAGGAGUUGCAAUUUCAACCACCGGACUGUGGUUAGAACCAGCCGUUUUGCCAAACCAAACACAGCGCUUACAGCCAGCGGUGACACAUGAAGGAGAUCACUGUGGCCGAUCCUGCCUGCGGCAUCCAGAACAGGCGAGACUUUCUCUCAGCUUCCCCAAGGGCCAGAGGCCAAGGAGGGCGGACUGGGGGUAGCUGGAGCCUGGGGCACAGCUGGAGCCCCCCCACCCCCCAGCCCGGGGUAACUUGCAGCUCCCUCCUCCCAGGCAAGGCUACUUCCCUCCUGCCCUGAGCCUCCUCCCCGGCCCCCAGCUGAGGGGUCCUGGGGUGAAUGCUUCCCCCAAGGCCGGAGGCCCCCCAGAGCAGAGCAGGCCCCAACCAGGCCACUGGCAAGGACUGCCUGGCCCUCCCUGCUGGAUGACAUGCUGAAGCGUCUCUGCUGGGAACACUACAGGGUUGUAUAAAACCAGAGAAACUUUGGAGGGGGGAGCCUGGCCAGCUUUGUUCCAGUUCUGUGGUGGCGGUGGCCGUUACGUGACCACACUUGCACAGGGCGCCUUUGUUGGGCGAACCCAGAGCCUCUGACUUCUCCUCAGAAACAUUCGCCUCUGACGUUCUCUUGCUCCCUGGCUCUGGGGCUGUGAUGUCACCAAGCAUUUAUUAACCUCUCAAGAAGCCAAUUGAGAGCUGUGGCACUUGGCAAGAAAGCAGCAGAGUCUGGGAUGUUGGUGAAGGGGGAACAGGCCCACAGAGACUCUGGCAAGAGCUGUUGCAGGGACGCAGUGGAGGGGGAGAGCUUCUUCAUAGCAGCUCGGUCAGAAACCCCCUGGAUUCAAAAGUGCGGUGGAAUUGAGAGAAGCGAAGCUCUUAGGAGCCACCAUCAAGGCCUUGGACACCUUGCAUCAGCUGUCAACCUCAGGGGGCCCUGUGAGAGCCCUGUGGCACCGACAGUCCCAUGGUGAGCUCCUCUGACAGACAUCAGGAUGGGUGAUUCUACAAGGGGACUCAAAAUGGAGAGAGAACAUCCUGGAAGGAGGAGAUCUAGCCAGCAGAAACUGGGGAUUAGUCCCCUCCAACCCCCUCACCCUCCGC